CUGCAGGGCUUUGUAAUUCCUGCUUGGAAAGACACAGGAGUCUGUCCGUCCUGUCCAUGGACAGGGAGUCUGUCCAUCCUUUCCAUGGACAGGGAGUCUGUCCGUCCUGUGCAUGGACAGGGAGUCUGUCCAUCCUUUCCAUGGACAGGGAGUCUGUCCGUCCUGUGCAUGGACAGGGAGUCUGUCCAUCCUUGGGCACAGGGAGUCUGUCCGUCCUGUCCAUGGACAGGGGGUCUGUCCAUCCAUGGACACAGGGAGUCUGUCCAUCCUUUCCAUGGACACAGGGGGUCUGUCCAUCCCUGGGCACAGGGGUCCCUCCAGUCCCAACCCAGGACACAGGGGCUCCAUCCAUCCCCGUUCCUGUGCCAGACUGUGCUGGCACAGACAGCGAGCCCAUGCCAAUCUAUUUUUUUGGCAUAAACACGCAUUUUUGGCG
rnacentral:lncRNA from 1 species